rnacentral:tRNA from 1 species
UUAGCUAAAGCCAAACAAUAGGCAUAUUACUGUUAAUAAUAAAUUGGACCAAAACAAUCCUUGCUAAG